rnacentral:rRNA from 1 species
CAGCAGCAGCCGCGGUAAUACAGAGGGUGCGAGCGUUAAUCGGAUUUACUGGGCGUAAAGCGUGCGUAGGCGGCUUCUUAAGUCGGAUGUGAAAUCCCUGAGCUUAACUUAGGAAUUGCAUUCGAUACUGGGAAGCUAGAGUAUGGGAGAGGAUGGUAGAAUUCCAGGUGUAGCGGUGAAAUGCGUAGAGAUCUGGAGGAAUACCGAUGGCGAAGGCAGCCAUCUGGCCUAAUACUGACGCUGAGGUACGAAAGCAUGGGGAGCAAACAGGAUUAGAUACCCCUGUAGUCCCUGUCUCUUAUAC